rnacentral:rRNA from 1 species
UACGGGGGGUGCGAGCGUUGUCCGGAAUCACUGGGCGUAAAGGGCGCGUAGGUGGCUUGGUAAGCGUGUGGUGAAAGCCCGGGGCUCAACCCCGGGUCUGCCAUGCGAACUGCUAUGGCUUGAGCACUGUAGAGGCAGGUAGAAUUCCGGGUGUAGCGGUGGAGUGCGUAGAGAUCCGGAAGAAUACCGGUGGCGAAGGCGGCCUGCUGGGCAGUGGCUGACACUGAGGCGCGACAGCGUGGGGAGCAAACAGG